GCGAACGCUGGCGGCAGGCCUAAUACAUGCAAGUCGAGCGGCCCUUCGGGGCAGCGGCGGACGGGUGAGUAACGCGUGGGAACGUGCCCUUUGGUACGGAACAACUGAGGGAAACUUCAGCUAAUACCGUAUGUGCCCUUCGGGGGAAAGAUUUAUCGCCAUUGGAGCGGCCCGCGUUAGAUUAGCUAGUUGGUAGGGUAAUGGCCUACCAAGGCGACGAUCUAUAGCUGGUCUGAGAGGAUGAUCAGCCACACUGGGACUGAGACACGGCCCAGACUCCUACGGGAGGCAGCAGUAGGGGAUCUUGCGCAAUGGGCGAAAGCCUGACGCAGCCAUGCCGCGUGAAUGAUGAAGGUCUUAGGACUGUAAAAUUCUUUCACCGGGGACGAUAAUGACGGUACCCGGAGAAGAAGCCCCGGCUAACUUCGUGCCAGCAGCCGCAGUAACAC
rnacentral:rRNA from 1 species